rfam:Glycine max cultivar Williams 82 chromosome 3, whole genome shotgun sequence.
UUACAAAGAAAUGUUGACCGUCACGUGUCAUAUUUUGAUUGACCAAUGACAACAACAAUAUAUUUCAUCAUCCAUACAUAGAGUUGAUAUCCAAUCAGAACAUGACACGUGAGAGUCGUCCAAU